UGGCACACAGGCAGCGAUGGUGUUCGGCCCCAACGGGCCGGCUGAAAAGGGAACGCGGUGCGCCUCAGGGCAAGGCCGCGGCUGCCCCCGCAACUGUAAGCGGCCAGCGAUUUCGGGAAUGCCACUGGGCCUGCGGGUCCGGGAAGGUCCGGAAAAGCGAUGACCCGCAAGCCAGGAGACCUGCCAUCGCCGAUUAACCCGA
rnacentral:ncRNA from 2 species